rnacentral:rRNA from 1 species
GCUGGAGGUAUCAGAAGUGCGAAUGCUGACAUAAGUAACGAUAAUGCGGGUGAAAAACCCGCACGCCGGAAGACCAAGGGUUCCUGUCCAACGUUAAUCGGGGCAGGGUGAGUCGACCCCUAAGGCGAGGCCGAAAGGCGUAGUCGAUGGGAAACAGGUUAAUAUUCCUGUACUUGGUGUUACUGCGAAGGGGGGACGGAGAAGGCUAUGUUAGCCGGGCGACGGUUGUCCCGGUUUAAGCAUGUAGGCGGAGGUUCCAGGUAAAUCCGGUACCUUUUUAACGCUGAGGUGUGAUGACGAGGCACUACGGUGCUGAAGUAACAAAUGCCCUGCUUCCAGGAAAAGCCUCUAAGCAUCAGGUAACAUCAAAUCGUACCCCAAACCGACACAGGUGGUCAGGUAGAGAAUACCAAGGCGCUUGAGAGAACUCGGGUGAAGGAACUAGGCAAAAUGGUGCCGUAACUUCGGGAGAAGGCACGCUGAUAUGUAGGUGAAGCGGUUUACCCGUGGAGCUGAAAUCAGUCGAAGAUACCAGCUGGCUGCAACUGUUUAUUAAAAACACAGCACUGUGCAAACACGAAAGUGGACGUAUACGGUGUGACGCCUGCCCGGUGCCGGAAGGUUAAUUGAUGGGGUUAUCCGUAAGGAGAAGCUCUUGAUCGAAGCCCCGGUAAACGGCGGCCGUAACUAUAACGGUCCUAAGGUAGCGAAAUUCCUUGUCGGGUAAGUUCCGACCUGCACGAAUGGCGUAAUGAUGGCCAGGCUGUCUCCACCCGAGACUCAGUGAAAUUGAACUCGCUGUGAAGAUGCAGUGUACCCGCGGCAAGACGGAAAGACCCCGUGAACCUUUACUAUAGCUUGACACUGAACACUGGUCCUUGAUGUGUAGGAUAGGUGGGAGGCUUUGAAGUGUGGACGCCAGUCUGCAUGGAGCCAUCCUUGAAAUACCACCCUUUAAUGGCUGGUGUUCUAACGUGGACCCGUAAUCCGGGUUGCGGACAGUGUCUGGUGGGUAGUUUGACUGGGGCGGUCUCCUCCUAAAGAGUAACGGAGGAGCACGAAGGUUAGCUAAUCCUGGUCGGACAUCAGGAGGUUAGUGCAAAGGCAUAAGCUAGCUUGACUGCGAGAGUGACGGCUCGAGCAGGUGCGAAAGCAGGUCUUAGUGAUCCGGUGGUUCUGAAUGGAAGGGCCAUCGCUCAACGGAUAAAAGGUACUCCGGGGAUAACAGGCUGAUACCGCCCAAGAGUUCAUAUCGACGGCGGUGUUUGGCACCUCGAUGUCGGCUCAUCACAUCCUGGGGCUGAAGUAGGUCCCAAGGGUAUGGCUGUUCGCCAUUUAAAGUGGUACGCGAGCUGGGUUUAGAACGUCGUGAGACAGUUCGGUCCCUAUCUGCCGUGGGCGCUGGAGAAUUGAGGGGGGCUGCUCCUAGUACGAGAGGACCGGAGUGGACGCAUCACUGGUGUUCGGGUUGUCAUGCCAAUGGCAUUGCCCGGUAGCUAAAUGCGGAAGAGAUAAGUGCUGAAAGCAUCUAAGCACGAAACUUGCCCCGAGAUGAGUUCUCCCUGAGACUWUAAGUCUCCUGAAGGAACGUUAAAGACGAUGACGUUGAUAGGUCGGGUGUGUAAGCGUAGCGAUACGUUGAGCUAACCGAUACUAAUGAACCGUGAGGCUUAACCUU